UACGUAGGUGGCAAGCGUUGUCCGGAUUUACUGGGCGUAAAGGGCGUGCAGGCGGCCCGUUAAGUGCAUGGUGAAAGCUCCCGGCUCAACUGGGAGAGGUCUGUGUAUACUGGCGGGCUUGAGGGGGGUAGAGGAAAGCGGAACUGAUGGUGGAGCGGUGAAAUGCGUUGAUAUCAUCAAGAACACCGGAGGCGAAGGCGGCUUACUGGGGCCUUUCUGACGCUGAGGAACGAAAGCUAGGGGAGCGAACGGG
rnacentral:rRNA from 1 species